CAGUGACUAGUCUAAUAAAGACAGCUAGCUUCGGCCUAGCAAAUCCCAGAUCAACUUUGGGGUCACUUU
rnacentral:tRNA from 1 species